rnacentral:rRNA from 1 species
UACGUAGGGUGCGAGCGUUAAUCGGAAUUACUGGGCGUAAAGCGUGCGCAGGCGGUUUUGUAAGCCAGAUGUGAAAUCCCCGGGCUCAACCUGGGAAUGGCAUUUGGGACUGCAAGGCUUGAGUGCGGCAGAGGAGACUGGAAUUCCUGGUGUAGCAGUGAAAUGCGCAGAUAUCAGGAGGAACACCAAUGGCGAAGGCAGCACUCUGGGACGUGACUGACGCUGAGGCGCGAAAGCGUGGGGAGCGAACAGG